UACGAACCGUCCAAACGUUAUUCGGAAUCAUUGGGCUUAAAGGGUACGUAGGCGGUGCCGUAAGUCGGGUGUGAAAUCCCUCGGCUCAACCGAGGAACUGCGCCCGAUACUGCGGUGCUUGAGGGAGACAGGGGUGAGCGGAACUGAUGGUGGAGCGGUGAAAUGCGUUGAUAUCAUCAGGAACACCAGUGGCGAAAGCGGCUCGCUGGGUCUCUUCUGACGCUGAGGUACGAAAGCUAGGGUAGCGAACGGGAUUAGAAACCCCCGUAGUCC
rnacentral:rRNA from 1 species